UCUCUCCCCGCUGCCCGCCCCGCCACCCGGGCUUGUGCGGACGUGUCUCGGGCGUGACCUUUGAGCAGCUGCGCCACCGGCUCAGCCUCGCGGCGGGGGAAACCCGAGCUCCCAACAAAACGGUUCCAUCUUUGGCUAGGCCUUUGGCACCAAAGAAGGCCCAGAGAGGUUUAACAACUUCCUCAGAAUCACACAGCUUCCAAAUGGUUGGGUUGGGUUUACAUUUAGGCGGUCUUGCUCCAGAGCCAGUGCUCCUAACCUUUGCAAGCCACGAACCUCAAGAAAGUGGAGAAGGAAACGCUGGGAAAUCUGGAAGUCAGACAUGAGAGCUAAUGCUGGCAGCUGUUGGGAUGUCCUCUUCCAGGAAUGGUGAUGAGUUUCCCUGGAUCCAGCCCUGGCUUGGCUGAGGUUUUUCUCACUGUAAGAAGAGGACAAUAGCCUAUGAUCUACAGUGCCCAUUCCAACUCAGAGAAUCUUUACAUCUGGAGAUCUAUAGCAGGGCUAUCCCUAGUGACAUGCGUGAAGAAGCUUGGAAAUGGUGCUGGGUAGGAGCUGAGUGUGCAGAAUGUGGAAAGGCAUUCUAAACCAAAGGAAGAACACGAGUAAAGAUGAUGAAGCAGGGAUAAGGCUAAAAUGAAAUUUGUGAUCUGAUCCACAUACAAGCACAGUGUAGUACAGCUGGAAUAUAGAGAAGAGCUUGAAGACUUAUGAGCAACUAUCCCGGUACUCUUGGAGGCUCUGCAACCACAGUUUGAGAAACUCCGCGUUCAAAGUUAAAAACUGUCACCUGAAUAGUUAAUAACAUCAAAGAUUGUGAAAGCAAGUAUAAAUAACACAGAGAUUAAAAUAAUGAGGCAGGAUCAGAAAAUGAUGAAGGUUUAAGAAGCAGCAUCAUCAGCGAACUGUGUUUUGAAGAUUUGAGGGAAGGGCUGACCUCAGGAUUUUAUACUAGUUGCUGACCUCCAUAACAGCAGACAAAAUUGGAAGCAAGAGUGAUUUUGGAGGAGUCACACUUAGAUGUUUCCCUUACCUAUUUCUGUUCUGGAAAUUUAAAAAUCUUACUUCUCGUGACAGUCCUACAUGAAAAAUUAAAAAUCACAAGGAUUCAUGGAUGGAAAA
rnacentral:lncRNA from 1 species